AACGAACGCUGGCGGCAUGCCUAACACAUGCAAGUCGAACGAGACCUUCAGGUCUAUUGGCGCACGGGUGCGUAACGCGUGGGAAGCUGCCCUUAGGUUCGGCAUACCUCCCCGACAGGGGUGCCAAUACCGGAUAAUGUCUUCGAACCAAAGAUUUAUCGAAUUUGAAUGGGCCCGCGUUGGAUUAGCUUGUUGGUAGGCUAAAAGACUACUAAGGCGACGAUCCAUAACUGGGCUGAGAGGAUGAUCAGCCACACUGGGACUGGGACACGGCCCAGACUCCUACGGGAGGCAGCAGUGCGGAAUAUUGGACAAUGGGCGAAAUCCUGAUCCAGCAAGGCCGCGUAAGUGAUGAAGGCCUUAGAGUUGUAAAGCUCUUUUACCCGUGAUGAUAAUGACAGUACCGGGAGAAUAAGCUCCGGCUAACUCCGUG
rnacentral:rRNA from 1 species